AAGGAAUAUUGGUCAAUGGACGCAAGUCUGAACCAGCCAUGCCGCGUGAAGGAUGAAGGUCCUCUGGAUUGUAAACUUCUUUUAUCUGGGACGAAAACGGGAUUUUUAUCUCAAUUGACGGUACCAUUUAUAAGCUCCGGCUAACUACGUGCCAGCAGCCGCGGUAAUACGUAGGGAGCAAGCGUGGGUCGGAUUUACUGGGCGUAAAGGGCGCGUAGGCGGCGCGGUAAGUCACUUGUGAAAUCUCUGAGCUUAACUCAGAACGGCCAAGUGAUACUGCUGUGCUAGAGUGCGGAAGAGGCAACCGGAAUUCUUGGUGUAGCGGUGAAAUGCGUAGAUAUCAAGAGGAACACCUGAGGCGAAGGCGGGUUGCUGGGCCGACACUGACGCUGAUGCGCGAAAGCCAGG
rnacentral:rRNA from 1 species